ensembl:lncRNA
UCAGCAAACUUGUGUAAGGAAUUACUGGCCAUAAAGGCUAAAGGAUCCAGAUAUAAAUUCAUUUUCUGAGAAGUGUCUGCUGAAGUGGAAAAAGUGGGAGAAUCAAAAAAUAUGCUUCUAAGGGAAAUCUGGAUGAAUAUAUACAAAGAAGGAAGCUGAUAUGAAGGCAACUACAUGAUGGCGAAGAUGGGACAGACGAAACUGCAAGCCAAGUAAUGCCAAAGAACUGCCUACCACCAGCAACUAGAAAGAAGCAAGUAAGGAUUCUACGCAGAGUCUCAGAUGGAGCAUAGCUCUGCUGACACAUGGAUUUUAUAUUUCCAGCCUGUAGAUUUGUAAAAUAAUACAUUUCUGCUUGUUCUAAGCCACCUAGUUUGUGAUACUUUGUUACAGUCACUCAGUGUUAGUCACUCAGCUGUGUUCAACUCUUUGUAACCCCAUGGACUGUAGCCUGCCAGGUUCCUCUGUCCAUGGAUUCUCCAGGCAAGAAUAUUGGAGUGGGUUGCCAUUUCCUUCUUUCGGGGGAUAUUCUCGACUCAUGGAUCUGAUCAGGUCUCCCACCUUGUGGGCAGAAGCCAUACUUUGUUUUAGUAACCCUAGCCAAAUAAUAUAAAAUCCACUCACUACCUGUCAUGAAAAUUUUUCCUUGAGAAAGACAUCUGGAAGAAUGGGUUAAUAAUAGAGAAUGUAAUACUCUGCUUAUUAAUAUGUAGCCCUUCGAUAUAUUUUUAGAUGCUUUUAAAUGUGAAUUUCUGUUAUUAAUACAAAAGCUAUGCAUGUUCACUAAAGAAAAUGUUCAAAAUAGUGACAGGUGGUCUGAAUGGGUCCUUCCUUGCCCUGUAGUGUUUUCUCCAUAGAGCAGCUAGGAUGAACUAAUUGAAAUAUUGAUCUUGCCUCUUCUCUCAUUAAAACCCUUCAAUGACUUUUUCAUCUCACUCAGAGCAAAUCUAUAGAAUUUAAGUGACUUAUAAUCCAUAUAAAUCAUUACAGUAAUUAUUCUCAAUAAACUGG